GUGUAACCUGCCCAUCGGCUGCCCUGGUGGCCGUCAUAACACUGCCCCAAGCUGCCCCCUACAUCACGACCGGCGCCCGCCUCUCGACACCAGGACCGCCCAUCACAUCGUGGACGUCUCCUGCCGAGCCAGACACUCACGCCAGCUCCUGCCUCUCCUCCUCCAGCAACCAGAGUUAAGCAUUAUGAGUAUUCCCCCCGAAUCUCCCUUGUGCAGGUAGCUAGUUAGAUUAGAGGCAUACAGCCUGUCAUUCAUUCGUGGUUUGUUUUAGUACUCCGCUAACCUUUUAAAAAUGAAACCAAAUACAUAUUAAUAUAAAACCUUA